UAAAAACUACACAAGGACUUUAGGAAAUGC
rnacentral:piRNA from 1 species